AACGAACGCUGGCGGCAUGCCUAACACAUGCAAGUCGAACGAAGCCUUCGGGCUUAGUGGCGCACGGGUGCGUAACGCGUGGGAAUCUGCCCCUUGCUUCGGAAUAACAGUUAGAAAUGACUGCUAAUACCGGAUGAAGUCUUCGGACCAAAGAUUUAUCGGCAAGGGAUGAGCCCGCGUAGGAUUAGGUAGUUGGUGGGGUAAAGGCCUACCAAGCCGACGAUCCUUAGCUGGUCUGAGAGGAUGAUCAGCCACACUGGGACUGAGACACGGCCCAGACCCCUCGGGGAGGAAGAGGGGGGAAUUAUGGAAAAGGGGCCGCAAGUCUAACCCAGAAAGGCCGGGUGAGGAAUAAAGCCUUGGGGGUUGAAAAGCUUUUUUACAAGGGAGGAUAAUGACAGUACCUGAAAAAAAAGCCCCGGCAACCCCCGUG
rnacentral:rRNA from 1 species